UCCUAAAACCCAUACUCCCUCAUCCAAGGUGUGCGACAUCCCUAACCUCUGCUCCACCCUGCGCCUCUGUUUGGGUUGUCAAGUCGCGCAGCUGCCAUCCAUGCUUCUCCCAACGGCGUCGAAGUCUCCCAUCACCUUGAUCGUGCGUGAAACUGUUACACCAUCCUCCAUCGUGUGCCAUUCUGAGCUAUCGCAGCCUCUCCCCUGUCAGUGAUUGAUUUCAACCUGAAAGUGUUUAGAGGCUCUUCAACGAAGAAGGUUCUGGUGCAGGAAGCGACGUCGUUUGGUGUCGGUUGCUAAGUACUACGCAAAGAAAUUGUCAAAGUGUGUUUCUGUUUUUGCCGUUGAUAAGAAUUGCAAAAUUACUUGCAGCAGAGAAGCUUCUAGACCACACUCUGAUCAAGGAGAAGUGUAGAAAAAAUGCGAUAAAUCGAUCAAAAUAACUAUAUACCAACACUGGCGGUUCAAAAAGUCUCGCACAGCAAAGGGAAGAAGAGAACAAGAAGGAAGGAGAGUCGGUAGAGGAGAGUUAUGGAUCAAAGUUCACAAAAAAAGGAUGGCUCUUAUAUCAAUGAUGAGGCAAGAGCAAUUGGU